rnacentral:rRNA from 29 species
CGCCUUUGGAUGUUGAUCAAAGGUCAGGCCUGCCCGGUGACUUUUAGUUAAACGGCUGCAGUACUCUGACUGUGCAAAGGUAGCAAAAUCAAUUGUUCAUUAAUUGUGGACUGGUAUCAAUGGCUCGACGAUAGAAAUACUGUCUCUUUUUACUUAUUUAGAACUUUAUUAAAAAGUGAAGAAGCUUUUGUGCACUAGCGGGACGAGAAGACCCCGUUGAGCUUUAGUUAAAUAAGAUUUGAAAAAUCUUAUUAACUUAGGUUGGGGCAACCAUUUUUAAAAUAAAACAAAAAUAAAAUACUAAUGAAUUAAAUCUUUUAGUGAGCCUUAACUUUGGGAAAAUGGAAAAAGUUACCACGGGGAUAACAGCGUAAUUUUUUUUGAGAGUUCUUAUUGACAAAAAAGUUUGCGACCUCGAUGUUGGAUCAUAACACCCCGGGGGUGCAGCAGCUCCUAACGGUUGGUUUGUUCAACCAUUAAAGUUAU